GUACUCAGCAGUCGGACCCAAUCCAGUAUAGAAUUUAGUUUGAUUAACAAUCCAUUUAGAAAAAGAUAGUAUAGGAACACAACUACCUUAAUUUGGGGCAAAAUGAAUUUAAGCAUUUUGUUGGCAAUAAGUAUAAUUUUGGGCACUGGGAUAGUUCUGGGAAAUCCCGCUGAAGAAAAUGUAAAUAUACAUGAAGAGGCCCUCGCACUACCCGAUUGGAUGACACCCGGAUUCCCGGAUGGCAUCACUGCCCCUGAUAGAACUCAUUGCUACUUGACAGGGUGUUCCAACCCGUGGCCGAAAUGUCCAGGCGAUUACUACGAGACUAACAUUUACAGGUGCGGAUUUCCUAACAAGAAACGGCGCCGAUGCUGUAGACACUUUCCAGAUUUUCUUGCGCAAUAAAGCAGUAUUCUGGUUCAAUUAUGUAUAACCUUGAAAUAAAGAACGUUGUAGUAUCAAUAA